UCCAUAUAAUUGAGGUGGAUGUCUACAAUUGGGGCGGGUGUCUACAGUCGGGGUGGGUGUCCAUAUAGUUGAAGUGGAUGUCUACAACUGGGGCGGAGGUGUCUACAGUCGGGGUGGGUGUCCAUAUAGUUGAGGUGGAUGUCUACAAUUGGGGCGGAUGUCCACAGUCGGGGUGGGUGUCCAUAUAGUUGAGGAGGAUGUCUACAACUGGGGCGGAGUGUCUACAGUCGGGGUGGGUGUCCAUAUAGUUCAGGUGGAUGUCUACAACUGGGGCGGAG